rnacentral:rRNA from 1 species
UACGUAGGGUGCAAGCGUUGUCCGGAAUUAUUGGGCGUAAAGAGCUCGUAGGCGGUCUGUCGCGUCUGGUGUGAAAAUCCAGGGCUUAACCCUGGACCUGCAUCGGGUACGGGCAGACUAGAGUGCGGUAGGGGAGAUCGGAAUUCCUGGUGUAGCGGUGAAAUGCGCAGAUAUCAGGAGGAACACCAAUGGCGAAGGCAGCUCGCUGGGACGUGACUGACGCUGAGACGCGAAAGCGUGGGGAGCAAACAGG